AUCGACCUAUCCAAAAAGCAUACCAGGGUCCUGAGGAGGGUGUGAAGGCGACGUUAAAUUUGGAACCGGUGGCAUGGAGAUUCAAGGAAAAUGAUAAGGCUGACGAAGAGGAGAAAAAGGCAACGAAGAAAGAUGAUUCAAAUGAAGAAUAAGGCAAUGUCAUCAACAUCUUCAAGGGAUUCCUUCAGUGAAUCCUUGGUCAUGCCGCUUCAAGGAAAAUCUUUAUAUACUAACGGUGGUAGGUAACAACCAACAUACAAUAUCUUCGUCUUUCAGCCAUUGGCGCUUACUCUACUACAUGGGUUGUACCGUUUUUCCUAAAUCUUCCAAUCUUUUCUCUAUCGCCACUGCUUUCUUUGCAUUACUUCAGACAACUAAUUUUCCUACAAAGCAGUCACCAUUGUGUGUUCGCAAUGUAUCAUCCAAAUCAGUUUCUUUCACCAUGUAAAAGUUUGUGGCCCUGCGAUUGAUGGAUAUGGAGUAGGUUUGGACGAUGUUGUGAUAUGUAACGACCAUGUA